rnacentral:rRNA from 1 species
CCUACGGGAGGCAGCAGUGGGGAAUAUUGCGCAAUGGGCGAAAGCCUGACGCAGCGACGCCGCGUGCGGGAUGAAGGCCUUCGGGUUGUAAACCGCUGUCGGGAGGGACGAAUCAAUGACGGUACCUCCAAAGGAAGCACCGGCUAACUCUGUGCCAGCAGCCGCGGUAAUACAGAGGGUGCAAGCGUUGUCCGGAAUUACUGGGCGUAAAGGGCGCGUAGGCGGUUCGGUAAGUAGGGGGUGAAAUGCUGCGGCUCAACCGCAGCCCUGCCUUCUAAACUGCCAGACUUGAGCGUAACAGAGGCAGGUGGAAUUCCCGGUGUAGCGGCGGAAUGCGUAGAGAUCGGGAAGAACAUCGGUGGCGAAGGCGGCCUGCUGGGUUACUGCUGACGCUGAGGCGCGAUAGCGUGGGGAGCAAACAGGAUUAGAUACCCUGGUAGUCCACGCCGUAAACGAUGGGUACUAGGCGCUGGGGGGAGCGACCCCCUCGGUGCCGUCGCUAACGCAAUAAGUACCCCGCCUGGGGAGUACGGCCGCAAGGCUGAAACUCAAAUGAAUUGACGG